rnacentral:lncRNA from 1 species
UGGGGGGGGGCUGAGACCCCUGGGGGGUGGAUUUGUACCCGAGGGGGGGCGUGGGACCCUUUGGGGGGGGGUUGGGACCCCUGGCAGUGAGGGGGACCCCGUGGGGGGGGGUUGGGACCGCAUAAAUUGCCUGGGGGACACCCUGGGGGGGGGCUGCGGGUCCCUUUGUGCCUGGGGGGGGCUUUGGGACCCCCCCGUGUACUUUGGGACCCCCCCUGGUGUUAUGCGGACUCCCCCUGGGUAUUAUGGGGACCCCCCUCGUACAAUGCGCCCCCCCCUUUGUAAUAUGGGCACCCCCCUGGGUGUUCUGGGAACCUCCUUGUACUGUGGGGGCCCCCCCUUUAAUAUGGGGACGCCCUGCGUGUUAAGGGCCCCCCCAGGCCUUAUGUGGGCUCUGAGACCCCCCCCCUGCAAAUUACAUGGUGGGGGCAAGCGUAGUGAGGGGGCAGCUCCCCCUUGCCCCCCCCCAACCCCCUCCCCCUCCCCUCCCCCCCUCUCCAAACCCUUCUGGGGCUGCGCUGGGGGCGCCGCGGGACCCCCACGGUUACCGGAGGGGGGGGGGGAUUCGCACGCCCCCCAGACCGCCUGGGCUCCACCCAGUGCCGCCGCUGCCUCAUCACCUUCCCCGACGCCGCCUUCGCCGCCCGGCACGCCAAGCGCGAGCACCCGCGGGACUUCGUGGCGGCGGCGCUGCGCGGGGCCCAGUUCGUCUGCUUCGUCUGCGCCCGCCCCUUCGCCUCCUCCCGCGCCCUCCUCCGCCACCAGCGGGGCCACGGCGGCUCCCCCCCGGGGGGGUCCCGGCCCCCCCCCACCGAUCCUCGGCCGUCUUCCUCUUCUCCUCCUCCUCCUCCUCCUCCUCCCGGCGCGGCCCCCCCCGCCUACGCCUGCACCGAGUGCGGCCGCGCCUUCGCUCGCGAGGGGGCCCUGCACCGGCACUACAUCCGGCACGCGCGGGGGGAGCUCUGAGGAUCAACCCCCCCCAAAACCCUUCUGGGGGGGGGGAAGGGGGUGUGGGGGGGAUCAAAGGGGGUCCGGGGGGUCCCAAAGGGGUCCUUGGGGGCUCGAAGGCGUCCUGGGGGGGGCCAAGAGGGUCCUGAGGGUCCCAAAGGGAUCCCUGGGGGGCCAAAAGGGUCCUGGGGGGGUUCCAAGGGGGUCCUGGGGGGCUCAAAGGGGUCCUGGGGGGGUCCAAGGGGAUCCUGGGGGGCCCAGGAGGGCCCCGAGGGUCCUGGGGGGGUCCCAAGGUCCCCAAAGGGCUCCUGGGGGGCCUCCGGGCAGGGGGCGGGGGCUCCCGGGAAGGGGCGGGGCCUGUGGCGGGCUCGGCACCAAUAAAAGGGCGGCUCCUGAUUGGCUCCCGGCGUCACUUCCUGGUUCGGGCGCAGGGCAUGCUGGGAGAUGUAGUGCUGGAGGGUGGUAGCGGCGCAGCUGUGACAUCAUGGCGGCCAGGCUGACGUCAUUGCCCUGAUGAAUGACGUCAUAACAGUGACACGGACAGGGCGGUGCUGCCUUCGGAGGUGACGUCACGGCGACAUCAGGGCCCCCCCCGUGACAUCACCGCCCCACUGUGUGACGUCACCACCCCCCUACAGCCCCUCUGUGGCCCUGCCCCUGUGACGUCACUGCCAGUGUGACGUCACACACACCCCCCCUGUAACGGCAUCAGCCAGCUCCCGACCUGUGACGUCACCGUGAUGUCACAGCCAACGGCAACACCCCCACCCCCAUGACAUCACCCCCAACCCGUGACGUCACCACCCCAAGCAAUGCCGGCACCCCAACCUAUGACAUCACCCCAACUCGUGACGUCACCCCACCCCAUGACGUCACCCCACCUAUGACGUCACAGCCCCGUGCCUGGCGCAGCCGCUCGCCGUUUAUUCCCCAGCAGCGGGGGCAGGACCGUGAGGAAGAGGGAGGGGGGGGG